UCCGACUAGUUCCGGGUUCGAGUCCCGGGCAACCC
rnacentral:tRNA from 6 species